UUCCAGACUCCUACGGGAGGCAGCAGUGGGGAAUAUUGCACAAUGGGGGAAACCCUGAUGCAGCGACGCCGCGUGAGUGAAGAAGUAUUUCGGUAUGUAAAGCUCUAUCAGCAGGGAAGAAAAUGACGGUACCUGAUUAAGAAGCCCCGGCUAACUACGUGCCAGCAGCCGCGGUAAUACGUAGGAUGCGAGCGUUAUCCGGAUUUAUUGGGUUUAAAGGGUGCGCAGGCGGAAGAUCAAGUCAGCGGUAAAAUGGAGGGGCUCAACCUCUUCGAGCCGUUGAAACUGGUUUUCUUGAGUGAGCGAGAAGUAUGCGGAAUGCGUGGUGUAGCGGUGAAAUGCAUAGAUAUCACGCAGAACUCCGAUUGCGAAGGCAGCAUACCGGCGCUCAACUGACGCUCAUGCACGAAAGUGUGGGUAUCGAACAGGAUUAGAUACCCUAGUAAGA
rnacentral:rRNA from 1 species